rnacentral:misc_RNA from 1 species
AUUACACCAAUCAAGCCCUGCUUGGUAUUAGGCCUUCGCCCCCGCCUCGCGGGGGCGUGCCUCAAACACCUCGGCGGAGCACACCGGCUUUGGGCGUAGUAGAAUUUAUCAACGCCCGUGGGACGGUGGGACUUUUGCCGCGCAAUCAAAACUCUUUAAAGGUUGACCUCGGAUCAGGUAGGGAUACCCGCUGAACUUAA